CGGUGCUGGCCGGGCUGGUCGUGGGCGCCCUGGUCUCCCGGGUCAGGGUGCUGCGGGCCGCGUUCGGCUCGCUGAUCACCGGCC
rnacentral:tRNA from 1 species